GAUGAACGCUAGCUACAGGCUUAACACAUGCAAGUCGAGGGGCAGCAUGGUCUUAGCUUGCUAAGGCCGAUGGCGACCGGCGCACGGGUGAGUAACACGUAUCCAACCUGCCGUCUACUCUUGGACAGCCUUCUGAAAGGAAGAUUAAUACAAGAUGGCAUCAUGAGUCCAUAUGUUCACAUGAUUAAAGGUAUUCCGGUAGACGAUGGGGAUGCGUUCCAUUAGAUAGUAGGCGGGGUAACGGCCCACCUAGUCUUCGAUGGAUAGGGGUUCUGAGAGGAAGGUCCCCCACAUUGGAACUGAGACACGGUCCAAACUCCUACGGGAGGCAGCAGUGAGGAAUAUUGGUCAAUGGGCGAGAGCCUGAACCAGCCAAGUAGCGUGAAGGAUGACUGCCCUAUGGGUUGUAAACUUCUUUUAUAAAGGAAUAAAGUCGGGUAUGGAUACCCGUUUGCAUGUACUUUAUGAAUAAGGAUCGGCUAACUCCGUGCCAGCAGCCGCGGUAAUACGGAGGAUCCGAGCGUUAUCCGGAUUUAUUGGGUUUAAAGGGAGCGUAGAUGGAUGUUUAAGUCAGUUGUGAAAGUUUGCGGCUCAACCGUAAAAUUGCAGUUGAUACUGGAUAUCUUGAGUGCAGUUGAGGCAGGCGGAAUUCGUGGUGUAGCGGUGAAAUGCUUAGAUAUCACGAAGAACUCCGAUUGCGAAGGCAGCCUGCUAAGCUGCAACUGACAUUGAGGCUCGAAAGUGUGGGUAUCAAACAGGAUUAGAUACCCUGGUAGUCCACACGGUAAACGAUGAAUACUCGCUGUUUGCGAUAUACAGCAAGCGGCCAAGCGAAAGCGUUAAGUAUUCCACCUGGGGAGUACGCCGGCAACGGUGAAACUCAAAGGAAUUGACGGGGGCCCGCACAAGCGGAGGAACAUGUGGUUUAAUUCGAUGAUACGCGAGGAACCUUACCCGGGCUUAAAUUGCAGAUGAAUUACGGUGAAAGCCGUAAGCCGCAAGGCAUCUGUGAAGGUGCUGCAUGGUUGUCGUCAGCUCGUGCCGUGAGGUGUCGGCUUAAGUGCCAUAACGAGCGCAACCCUUGUUGUCAGUUACUAACAGGUUCCGCUGAGGACUCUGACAAGACUGCCAUCGUAAGAUGUGAGGAAGGUGGGGAUGACGUCAAAUCAGCACGGCCCUUACGUCCGGGGCUACACACGUGUUACAAUGGGGGGUACAGAGGGCCGCUACCACGCGAGUGGAUGCCAAUCCCAAAAACCUCUCUCAGUUCGGACUGGAGUCUGCAACCCGACUCCACGAAGCUGGAUUCGCUAGUAAUCGCGCAUCAGCCACGGCGCGGUGAAUACGUUCCCGGGCCU
rnacentral:rRNA from 1 species